UGGGUUUGACAUCUCGGGGAUUUUUAUGAAAGUGAAAAGUGCCUAGGGGAGGAACUCGAAGAC
rnacentral:rRNA from 1 species